AAUGACGUCUGUUCAGAGAGCCAAUCCCAGUCUCGCGACUCCUGCUUGCUGGGCGCGGCUUGGGCCUCCAGGCUGCGCAGCGCAGCCGCUAUCGGGCGGACUGCAGUUCUUGCCGAGCAGUCGCAAUGAUUUGUAUGACAGCUGCUAGCCCAAGAGAGAGUUCCAGAAGAGGGCUACCUAACAGGUGCUGUGGCAUUUAGAAGAGGAAUGGAGCCAUUGUCAACGCACAGCUUGCAGGGGAGCAGGAGAGUCAGUCUAAGAAGGAAAUGUGAUGAUGGAAACAGAGGUUGGAAGAUGGAAGAGGACCCAGAGUCAAGGAAUGCAGGUAGAAAAGAAAAGCCUGGAUUCUCCCCUAAAGCCUCCAGAUGGAACACAGCCCUGCCUCCACCUUGAUUUCAGGACUUCUUACCCCAAGAAUCGUAAGCUAAUACAUUUGUUUUUGUUUUUGUUUUUGUUUUCUUUGAGAUGGAGUCUUGCUCUGCUGCCCAGGCUGGAGUGCAGUGGACUGAUCUUGGCUCACUGCAGCGUCCAUCUUCCGGGUUCAAGCGAUUCUCCUGCUUCAGCCUCUCAAGUAGCUGGGAUUACAGGCGCCCACCACACCCGGCUAAUUUUUUUUUUUUUUAAUACUUUAAGUUUUAGGUUACAUGUGCACAACGUGCAGGUUUGUUACAUAUGUAUACAUGUGCCAUGUUGGUGUGCUGCACCCAUUAACUCGUCAUUUAGCAUUAGGUAUCUCUCCUAAUGCUAUCCCUCCCCCCUCCCCCCACCCCACAACCGUCCCCAGUGUGUGAUGUUCCCCUUCCUGUGUCCAUGUGUUCUCAUUGUUCAAUUCCCACCUAUGAGUGAGAACAUGCGGUGAUUGGUUUUUUCUCCUUGCAAUAGUUUGCUGAGAAUGAUGGUUUCCAGCUUCAUUCAUGUCCCUACAAAGGACAUGAACUCAUCAUUUUUUAUGGCUGCAUGGUAUUCCAUGGUGUAUAUGUGCCACGUUUUCUUAAUCCAGUCUAUCAUUGUUGAAUAUUUGGGUUGUUUCCAAGUCUUUCCUAUUGUGAAUAAUGCCACAAUAAACAUACGUGUGCAUGUGUCUUUAUAGCAGCAUGAUUUAUAAUCCUUUGGGUAUAUACCCAGUAAUGGGAUGGCUGGGUCAAAUGGUAUUUCUAGUUCUAGAUCCCUGAGGAAUUGCCACACUGACUUCCACAAUGGUUGAACUAGUUUACAGUCCCACCAACAGUGUAAAAGUGUUCCUAUUUCUCCACAUCCUCUCCAGGACCUGUUGUUUCCUGACUUUUUAAUGAUCACCAUUCUAACUGGUGUAAGAUGGUAUCUCAUUGUGGUUUUGAUUUGCAUUUCUCUGAUGGCCAGUGAUGAUGAGCAUUUUUUCAUGUGUUUUUUGGCUGCAUAAAUGUCUUCUUUUGAGAAGUAUCUGUUCAUAUCCUUUGCCCGUAUUUUGAUGGGGUUGUUUGUGUUUUUCUUGUAAAUUUGUUUGAGUUCAUUGUAGAUUCUGGAUAUUAGCCCUUUGUCAGAUGAGUAGAUUGCAAAAGUUUUCUCCCAUUCUGUAGGUUGCCUAUUGACUCUGAUGGUAGUUUCUUUUGCUGUGCAGAAGCUCUUUAGUUUAAUUAGAUCCCAUUUGUCAAUUUUGGCUUUUGUCGCCAUUGCUUUUGGUGUUUUAGACAUGAAGUCCUUGCUCAUGCCUAUGUCCUGAAUGGUAUUGCCUAGAUUUUCUUCUAGGGUUUUUAUGGUUUUAGGUCUAACAUGUAAGUCUUUAAUCCAUCUUGAAUUAAUUUUUGUAUAAGGUGUAAGAAAGGGAUCCAGUUUCAGCUUUCUACAUAUGGUUAGCCAGUUUUCCCAGCACCAUUUAUUUAUUUAUUUAUUUUUAUUUAUUUAUUUUUUUUUUUUUUGAGACGGAGUCUCGCUCUGUCGCCCAGGCCAGACUGCGGACUGCAGUGGCGCAAUCUCAGCUCACUGCAAGCUCCGCUUCCCGGGUUCACGCCAUUCUCCUGCCUCAGCCUCCCGAGUAGCUGGGACUACAGGCGCCCGCCACCGCGCCCGGCUAAUUUUUUGUAUUUUUAGUAGAGACGGGGUUUCACCUUGUUAGCCAGGAUGGUCUCGAUCUCCUGACCUCAUGAUCCACCCGCCUCGGCCUCCCAAAGUGCUGGGAUUACAGGCGUGAGCCACCGCGCCCGACCAGCACCAUUUAUUAAAUAGGGAAUCCUUUCCCCAUUGUUUGCUUUUGUCAGGUUUGUCAAAGAUCAGAUAGUUGUAGAUAUGUGGCAUUAUUUCUGAGGGCUCUGUUCUGUUCCAUUGGUCUGUAUCUCUGUUUUGGUACCAGUACCAUGCUGUUUUGGUUACUGUAGCCUUGUAGUAUAGUUUGAAAUCAGGUAGCAUGAUGCCUCCAGCUUUGUUCUUUUGGUUUAGGAUUGACUUGGCAAUGUGGGCUCUUUUUUGGUUCCAUAUGAACUUUAAAGUAGUUUUUUCCAAUUCUGUGAAGAAAGUCAUUGGUAGCUUGAUGGGGAUGGCAUUGAAUCUAUAAAUUACCUUGGGCAGUAUGGUCAUUUUCAUGAUAUUGAUUCUUCCCACCCAUGAGCAUGGAAUGUUCUUCCAUUUGUUUGUAUCCUCUUUUAUUUCACUGAGCAGUGGUUUGUAGUUCUCCAUGAAGAGGUCCUUCAUAUCCCUUGUAAGUUGGAUUCCUAGGUAUUUUAUUCUCUUUGAAGCAAUUGUGAAUGGGAGUUCACUCAUGAUUUGGCUCUCUGUUUGUCUGUUGUUGGUGUAUAAGAAUGCUUGUGAUUUUUGCACAUUGAUUUUGUAUCCUGAGACUUUGCUGAAGUUGCUUAUCAGCUUAAGGAGAUUUUGGGCUGAGACGAUGGGGUUUUCUAGAUAUACAAUCAUGUCAUCUGCAAACAGGGACAAUUUGACUUCCUCUUUUCCUAAUUGAAUGCCCUUUAUUUCCUUCUCCUGCCUGAUUGCCCUGGCCAGAACUUCCAACACUAUGUUGAAUAGGAGUGGUGAGAGGGGGCAUCCCUGUCUUGUGCCCGUUUUCAAAGAGAAUGCUUCCAGUUUUUGCCCAUUCAGUAUGAUACUGGCUGUGGAUUUGUCAUAGAUAGCUCUUAUUAUUUUGAGAUACGUCCCAUCAGUACCUAAUUUAUUGAGAGUUUUUAGCAUGAAGGGCUGUUGAAUUUUGUCAAAGGCCUUUUUUGCAUCUAUUGAGAUAAUCAUGUGGUUUUUGUCUUUGGUUCUUUUUAUAUGCUGGAUUACAUUUAUUGAUUUAGCGUAUGUUGAACCAGCCUUGCAUCCCAGGGAUGAAGCCCACUUGAUCAUGGUGGAUAAGCUUUUUGAUGUGCUGCUGGAUUUGGUUUGCCAGUAUUUUACUGAGGAUUUUUGCAUCAAUGUUCAUCAAGGAUAUUGGUCUAAAAUUCUCUUUGUUGGUUGUGUCUCUGCCAGGCUUUGGUAUCAGGAUGAUGCUGGCCUCAUAAAAUGAGUUAGGGAGGAUUCCCUCUUUUUCUAUUGAUUGGAAUAGUUUCAGAAGGAAUGGUACCAGCUCCUCCUUGUACCUCUGGUAGAAUUCGGCUGUGAAUGCAUCUGGUCCUGGACUUUUUUUGGUUGGUCAGCUAUUAAUUAUUGCCUCAAUUUCAGAGGCUGUAAUUGGUCUAUUCAGAGAUUCAACUUCUUCCUGGUUUAGUCUUGGGAGGGUGUAUGUGUCGAAGAAUUUAUCCAUUUCUUCUAGAUUUUCUAGUUUAUUUGCAUAGAGGUGUUUAUAGUAUUCUCUGAUGGUAAUUUGUAUUUCUGUGGGAUCAGUGGUGAUAUCCCCUUUGUCAUUUUUUAUUGCGUCUAUUUGAUUCUUCUCUCUUUUCUUCUUUAUUAGUCUUGCUAGCGGUCUAUCAAUUUUCUUGAUCUUUUCAAAAAACCAGCUCCUGGAUUCAUUGAUUUUUUGAAGGGUUUUUUGUGUCUCUAUUUCCUUCAGUUCUGCUAUGAUGUUAUUUCUUGCCUUCUGCUAGCUUUUGAAUGUGUUUGCUCUUGCUUCUCUAGUUCUUUUAAUUGUAAUGUCAGAGUGUCAGUUUUAGAUCUUUCCUGCUUUCUCUUGUGGGCAUUUAGUGCUAUAAAUUUCCCGCUACACACUGCUUUGAAUGUGUCCCAGAGAUUAUGGUAUGUUGUGUCUUUGUUCUCAUUGGUUUCAAAGAACAUCUUUAUUUCUGCCUUCAUUUUGUUAUGUACCCAGUAGUCAUUCAGGAGCAGGUUGUUCAGUUUCCAUGCAGUUGAGCAGUUUUGAGUGAGUUUCUUAAUCCUGAGUUCUAGUUUGAUUGCACUGUGGUCUGAGAGACAGUUUGUUAUAAUUUCUGUUCUUUUACAUUUGCUGAGGAGUGCUUUACUUCCAAGUAUGUGGUCAAUUUUGGAAUAGGUGUGAUGUGGUGCUGAAAAAAAUGUAUAUUCUGUUGAUUUGGGGUGGAGAGUUCUGUAGAUGUGUAUUAGGUACGCUUGGUGCAGAGCUGAGUUCAAUUCCUGUAUAUCCUUGUUAACUUUCUGUCUCGAUCUGUCUAAUGUUGACAGUGGGGUGUUAAAGUCUCCCAUUAUUAUUGUGUGGGAGUCUAAGUCUCUUUGUAGGUCACUCAGGACUUGCUUUAUGAAUCUGGGUGCUCCUGUAUUGGGUGCAUAUAUAUUUAGGAUAGUUAGCUCUUCUUGUUGAAUUGAUCCCUUUACCAUUAUGUAAUGGCCUUCUUUGUCUCUUUUGAUCUUUGUUGGUUUAAAGUCUGUUUUAUCAGAGACUAGGAUUGCAACCCCUGCCUUUUCUUCUUUUCCAUUUGCUUGGUAGACCUUCCUCCAUCCCUUUAUUUUGAGCCUAUGUGUGUGUCUGCACGUGAGAUGGGUUUCCUGAAUACAGCACACUGAUGGGUCUUGAUUCUUUAUCCAAUUUGCCAGUCUUUGCCUUUUAAUUGGAGCAUUUAGCCCAUUUACAUUUAAGGUUAGUAUUGUUAUGUGUGAAUUUGAUCGUGUCAUUAUGAUGUUAGCUGGUUAUUUUGCUCAUUAGUUGAUGCAGUUUCCUCCUAGCCUUGAUGGUCUUUACAAUUUUGCAUGUUUUUGCAGUGGCUGGUACCGGUUUUUCCUUUCCAUGUUUAGCGCUUCCUUCAGGAGCUGUUUUAGGGCAGGCCUGGUGAUGACAAAAUCUCUCAGCAUUUGCUUGUCUGUAAAGUAUUUUAUUUCUCCUUCACUUAUGAAGCUUAGUUUGGCUGGAUAUGAAAUUCUGAGUUGAAAAUUAUUUUCUUUAAGAAUGUUGAAUAUUGGCCCCCACUCUCUUCUGGCUUGUAGAGUUUCUGCUGAGAGAUCCGCUGUUAGUCUGAUGGGCUUCCCUUUGAGGGUAACCCGACCUUUCUCUCUGGCUGCCCUCAACAUUUUUUCCUUCAUUUCAACUUUGGUGAAUCUGACAAUUAUGUGUCUUGGUGUUGCCCUUCUCGAGGAGUAUCUUUGUGGCAUUCUCUGUAUUUCCUGAAUGUGAAUGUUGGCCUGCCUUGCCAGAUUGGGGAAGUUCUCCUGGAUAAUAUCCUGCAGAGUGUUUUCCAACUUGGUUCCAUUCUCCCUGUCGCUUUCAGGUACACCAAUCAGACGUAGAUUUGGUCUUUUCACAUAGUCCCAUAUUUCUUGGAGGCUUUGUUUGUUUCUUUUUAUUCUUUUUUCUCUAAACUUCUCUUCACGCUUCAUUUCAUUCAUUUUGUCUUCCAUCACUGAUACCCUUUCUUCCAGUUGAUCGCAUCGGUUACUGAGGCUGUGCAUUCGUCAUGUAGUUCUCGUGCUGUGGUUUUCAGCUCAGUCAGGUCCUUUAAGGACUUCUCUGCAUUGGUUAUUCUAGUUAUCCAUUUGUCUAAUUUUUUUUCAAAGUUUUUAACUUCUUUGCCAUUGGUUCGAACUUCCUCCUUUAGCUCGGAGUAGUUUGAUCUUCUGAAGCCUUCUUCUCUCAGCUCGUCAAAGUCAUUCUCCAUCCAGCUUUGUUCCAUUGCUGGUGAGGAGCUGUGUUCCUUUAGAGGAGGAGAAGCACUCUGAUUUUUAGAGUUUCCGGUUUUUCUGCUCUGUUUUUUCCCCAUCUUUGUGGUUUUAUCUACCUUUGGUCUUUGAUGAUGGUGACUUACAGAUGGGUUUUUGGUGUGGAUGUCCUUUCUGUUUGUUAGUUUUCCUUCUAACAGUCAGGACCCUCAGCUGCAGGUCUGUUGGAGUUUGCUGGAGGUCUACUCCAGACCUUGUUUGCCUGGGUAUCAGCAGCGGUGGCUGGAGAACAGCAGAUAUUGGUUAACUGCAAAUGUUGCUGCCUGAUCGUUCCUCUGGAAGUUUUGUCUCAGAGGAGUACCUGGCCGUGUGAGGUGUCAGUCCGCCCCUACUGGGGAGUGCCUCCCAGUUAGGCUACUUGGGGGUCAGGGACCCACUUGAGGAGGCAGUCUGCCCGUUCUCAGAUCUCAAGCUGCAUGCUGGGAGAACCACUACUCUCUUCAAAGCUGUCAGACAGGGACAUUUAAGUCUGCAGAGGCUAUUGCUGUCUUUUGUUUGUCUGUGCCCUGCCCCCAGAGGUGGAGCCUACAGAGGCAGGCAGGCCUCCUUGAUCUGUGGUAGGCUCCACCCAGUUCGAGCUUCCUGACCUCUUUGUUUACCUACUCAAGCCUGGGCAAUGGCGGGCACCCCUCCCGCAGCCUCACUGCCGCCUUGCAGCUUGAUCUCAGACUGCUGUGCUAGCAAUGAGUGAGGCUCUGUAGGCAUAGGAACCUCCGAGCCAGGUGAGGAAUAUAAUCUCCUGGUGUGCCGUUUGUUAAGCCCAUUGGAAAAGUGCAGUAUUGGGGUGAGAGUGACCCAAUUUUCCAGGUGCCAUGUGUCACCCCUUUCUUUGACUAGGAAAGGGAAUUCCCUGACCCCUUGCGCUUCCUGGGUGAGGUGAUGCCUCGCCCUGCUUCGGCUCAUGCACGGUGCGCUGCACCCACUGUCCUGCACCCACUGUCCAGCACUCCCCAGUGAGAUGAACCCGGUACCUCAGUUGGAAAUGCAGAAAUCACCCGUCUUCUGCGUCGCUCACGCUGGGAGCUGUAGACUGGAGCUGUUCCUAUUUGGCCAUCUUGGCUCCACCCCACACCCGGCUAAUUUUUUUGUAUUUUUAGUUGAGACGAGGUUUUGCCAUGUGCUGGCUAGGUUGUUCUCGAACUCCUAACUUCAGGUGAUCCACCUGCCUUGGCCUCCCGAAGUGCUGCGAUUACAGGUCUGAGCCACUGCACCCAGCCAUUUGGGUUGUUGUAAGCCUUCAAGUUUGUGACACCUUGUUAGAGAAGCAAUAGGAAACUAAUACAAGUUCUAUUCACUGCAUCUUAAGAGAAGAAAGCUGGGCAGGUAAGGCAGGGACAGUUUGUUGAUUCCUUAUUUAAUAAGUAGCUAUUGAGCACCCCUCCUCACUUUUUUGGUGGAACAGUGUGUAGUAAUAUGAGGUAAAGAACAUAAUUUGUGCUCUCAGAAGCUUACUAGUUAGCAGCUACAGCUAUGGCUAGUGAAUGGCCAGCCUUGAAUUCAAGGGGGUAGGAUUUGCACCUGACUCGAGACCAAUGCUUAGACUUCCAGAUGCAACAGCUGGGAGCCUCCUUCCAGGAUUUGAUCUCAACACAGACAAGAGUGUUUAUUCACUCAUUUAUUAGUUGACUCAACCACCAUUUAGUGUAUACGUUGAUAUAUCCAUUUUAGCAAAGAAAACAGGGAGGACAUGAAAGGGGAACUUUUACAUCUUAAUGUAAUUUUUUUAAAAAAGCAGUAGGAUUAAGUGUGUGUGUGUAAUUUAAUUUGAAGAUUUCCAGUAUUUUUUCAUGUUUUAAUUAAUUGUUUUGAGACAAGGUCUCACUGUCUCACCCAGGCUAGAGUGCACAGGUAAAAUCAUAGCUCACUGUAGCCUCAAUCUCCUGGCCUCAAGUAGAAUCUCCCACCUUAGCCUCCCAAAUAGCUAUGACUACAGGCAUGUGCCACCACACCCAGGCAAUUUAUUUUAUUUUAUUUUUUUAUUUUAGAAAAGGGUUCUCACUGUGUUUCCCAGGCUGAUCAUGAUCUCUUGGCAUCAAGCAGUCCUCCCACCUCAGCCUCCAAAGUGCUGGGAUUACAGGUCAUCAAGCAGUCCUCCAGCCUCAGCCUCCAAAGUGCUGGGAUUACAGGUGUGUGCCAUGGCAUCCAGCCCAGUAUUUUUUUUUUUUUUUAAUUAAAAAAAUGGUGGCUCACGCCUGUAAUCCCAACACUUUGGGAGGCCGAGGUGGGUGGACCACGAGGUCAGGAGUUUGAGACCAGCCUGGCCAACAUGGUGACACCCCAUCUCUACCAAAAUACAAAAAAAUUAGCCAGGCAUGGUGGCGUGCACCUGUAAUCCCAGCUACUCUGGAGGCUGAGGCAGAAGAAUUGCUUAAAUCCCAGGGGCAGAGGUUGCAUGAGCCAAGAUCAUGCCACUGCACUCCAGCCUGGGCGACAGAGCAAGACUCCGUCUCAGGGGAAAAAAAAAAAAAGGAAAUAUUUUCCGAAAGCUAGUCUGAGCCAGGCAGUAUGAAAGACACUGAAGAUAAAAGAGCAGUCUUGAACUCUACACACUUACAGCUAAAUAGGAGUGACAAGUGAACAGGGGAUUGCCCCACCUGAAGCUCUUGUGACCAGAGAGAGAAACAAGGUUUCUGUGGAGGCCCAGAGGGGUCCUUCAACCCUGCUUGGAGGACAGUACUGGGGUGGAGAGGGUCAAGUAGAGAUUCCCAAAAGUAACAUCUCAACUGAGCAGUCUGAUCCUUAGCAAGGUUCGGGCCCUUUGGCCUUGCCUACCCUGGCCUUGGUUGUUUUGCUAACCAGAGCCAGCUGUGUUGUGGGUGUCUUUUCCUCUCUCCUGGUGUCCCCGCCUGGACCCUUCACUCUUUGCCUCCCACGCCCUGGCAUUACACAGGCAUUUUCAGACCCUUUCCCAGGAUUCUGUUUAUAGCCAGCAUCCUGUGCAGCUCAUGAGGAGUCAUAAGCCCAUGAUGAGAUAAGAGGAGGAACUUGGAAGAAAACAUGAUGAACAUGGACAAAGCCAAGGGGAAAAAUAUGCAUGUUUUCAUUUGCUUUUCCCAAACAGGAUGCUUUCACACCACUGUCUAUAAUUCAAACAGUAUGUUUCUGCUUAACAUACUGUGAAGAUGUGAAGCCACAUGAGAAAUGUUCUCCCAAGAUGGAGUUAGUGUCCCUCCUGGAGCUCCCUCAGCACCCUGUGCUCCCACAUUUCAAAGGAUCACUCACACCCUAGCCCAUUUCCUCACUGUCUAAUGUUCUCCACAGACCCCUAAGAUCCUUCUAGAGCCAUGACCAGCCUUGCUUGAGGUUGUAUGGCAUAUACCCUGUGCACAGUGAAUGCUGAAUAAAUAACUGCUCCGUUGAACUGAAUAGAAUAAAACAGCAUAGAUACUAGUUUGGUCAAAUUUUAAAACAUCAGAACUUCAACUCUCAUUUUGGAAGGUGGGGAUGUGAUUAAAAUUCAAUUUUAAUUGAUUAUUUCUCAGAAAACAUAAAAAUGUUCCUACAAUUCUCAAAUAGCUAUUUACCAAUUUCAUUUUCAACCUGAUUUGACACUCUGAUGAGGGGGGAAGGUUGAGUACAUCAUAAAAACUUCAGUUUACCUCUAACUUGUGAUUGUGUGUGAAGAAAGAGCACAGGAUAUAGAAGAGGGAAAAAUGCUUUGAAAACUCUAAAAGUGGGUUGCAAAUGUUAGUUUGUUUUCACACAAUGGACACAAAAAUCGCCCGUGCAUUCAGUCACUUGCAGACUGAAGCAAACAGCUGUAUUUGGAUGAGGCAGAGGAAUGGUGGGAGGAACUGUUUCUUGUUGCACUGAGCAUUCAGUUGUUCUGGGCUUUGCCCAAGGAAAAACAGAUGGUUUUCCUUGCUGGAAUUGGUCAGGGAGGGCAGGGGAAGUGCCCAGGCUUUGCUUUCCCAUAAUUGACAGUACAGAGUUUUAAGAAAUAUUUGAACAGUAGCACUGUUCUGGUACCUACUUGGGAAAGCCAAUUCUUGAUUUUAAAAAAUCAAAUCAAAGCAGUGACAGUGACAUAUUCUGCUUCCAUUUCAUACCAUUCCUGACUUCUUAGAAGCAGUUGAUGCUAGUGGUCUUCUCUGGCAGGGAUUGCUAGCCCUGGCUUUGCAGCAGCCCAUGGAGCUGCCAGUUCUCCAGGGUAAUUGCAAAAUACUGCUAAGUAUUCUAAAAAUGAAAUUAAAUAUUCAUUUUAUUUUAAUUUACAUGUGCCAUCCAAUACUUUUAGAAGAUGUCAGUACCAUGGAAUGACAUGACCAACAAUAAUAUGUUGCAACUCUGAGAUACAGCUAGAAAUUCUCCGAAUAAGAUGCUGAUGGUCCUGCAGUCCAAUGCUGUGUGAUUUUCACUGUGGCCAGCUAUACAAGACUUAGCGUAUACUUCUCUCUGUGUAACUGUAAAAAAUUUUGUAAGUCUAAGAGGGUAAUAUAUUCUUUCAUAAAACCUCAAUCUAGUGAGUUCUAAUCAUUCUUGAUCUUUCUCAAAUAAAUACUAGUCAAAUCUUUCCCAAUAACUAAGUAACUAAGCAUUCACGUUUUACAACUGUAAUGUAGUUUUGGUAUGAGAAAACUAUUUCCUGGUCUCCAGGAUCUAGAAAGUAAACAUGUAACAAACAAUUAGGAAUGUGGUAUCGGGUAGUCAGAUGUUCUACACGUCUCCAGCCUAAGCUGUCCACUUCGGAUUUCUUGCUCUUUUCCUUUUUGCUUAAGCAUAUCUUGGUAUGUUGCCUGGAAGUUUAUGUGUGUUACUACAGCAGAACAAAGAAUUAUGUAAUAUAAAGCCCAACUUGUUUUUCUUUUCCCUACCAGCUGUACUAUAACUUAGACAAAACUCAACCAUUUUCUUUCAUUAUGUACAGUGGCUAUUAAAAAGAAAGGAUGUAGAAAAAUUUUUUUCAGGAAACAGUGGAAAACUAAUGCGUCAUGAUCUGCUUAACAGGGGACUGUAAAUAGAAGCAAGUCCAGAUCAUGGAAAUUGCUUCUUUAAAAUAUUUUUUUUCAAUUUUAAAAGGAAUACAUUCACAUGGUUUAAAAAAACCCCUCAAACUAAAGAAGAAUACAGAAUAAGAAGUAAAAGUUCUACCCUCCAACCUACUACCCCAACUCCUGAAUCCCACUGCCAAGAGAAACAGUCAUUUGUUGUGCAUCUUUCUAGAAGAAUUCUAUGCAUAUUACAGAGGUGUCACAAAUACCCACAUGCUUUCUUCCCUUACAAGCUCUGUGACUUGAUUUUUCUCUUUACUGUGCUUUAAGCAUCUUUGCAUAUUAGUAAACAUAUACACCUCAGUUAAAAAAAAUCAACAGCUGGGUGUAGUGGUGCAUACCUGUAGUCCCAGCAAUUUGGGAGGCAGAGAGGCAGGAAGAUCCCCUGAGCCCAGGAAUUCUAAUCUACCCUGGGCAUCUUGGCAAGACCCUGUCUCUUAAGAAAAAAACUAUCGC
rnacentral:lncRNA from 1 species